CAAGCCCUGGAAACGGGGUCUAAUACCGGAUAUGACGCACGACCGCAUGGUCUGUGUGUGGAAAGCUCCGGCGGUGCAGGAUGAGCCCGCGGCCUAUCAGCUUGUUGGUGGGGUAGUGGCCUACCAAGGCGACGACGGGUAGCCGGCCUGAGAGGGCGACCGGCCACACUGGGACUGAGACACGGCCCAGACUCCUACGGGAGGCAGCAGUGGGGAAUAUUGCACAAUGGGCGAAAGCCUGAUGCAGCGACGCCGCGUGAGGGAUGACGGCCUUCGGGUUGUAAACCUCUUUCAGCAGGGAAGAAGCGAGAGUGACGGUACCUGCAGAAGAAGCACCGGCUAACUACGUGCCAGCAGCCGCGGUAAUACGUAGGGUGCGAGCGUUGUCCGGAAUUAUUGGGCGUAAAGAGCUCGUAGGCGGCUUGUCACGUCGGUUGUGAAAGCCCGGGGCUUAACCCCGGGUCUGCAGUCGAUACGGGCAGGCUAGAGUUCGGUAGGGGAGAUCGGAAUUCCUGGU
rnacentral:rRNA from 1 species